UUAUUUAUUUUUUGUCUGUUCUGUAUCUAGUUUUUAUUUUGUUUUUGGAACUGUCUUUUUUUGCCAUGGCAUGCAAUUCUGAAAGUGUUCUUAAUUAUUUGGCCCUGAUUUCCCUGACAAAAGCUUGGGCAUAUCAUCCAAAUAGGGAUCGCACAAUCGAAAGGCUGACAUAGACAUUUGGGGUGCUCUUUUUGCUGAAUUUGUAGGCUCUGAGGACCAUAUACAUUAUCUCUGCCUUUAUACAGUGAGGGUUAUCUGGGAGAGCAGCGAUUAGGGAAAGAGUGAGAGACAUGAUAACACUGUUUGAAUCCCUUCAACCUUCUGUGCCUGAGACCAGUCCAUCCCUCUGUAACUUCCAGAUUAAGCAUAACAAUAUAUUCCUGCUGUUGCAUAAACCAGCUUCAGUUAGAUUUCUGCUACUUGCAAACAAACAGUCAUAAUUGAGAAUUCCUAACACGUAUGUACUUUUAUAGGACUUGAACAGUAUUGUGAAGCUUGUCAGUGAUAACUUCAUCCCAUGUAAUGCUGACUAUUUGGUGGUUACAUGGCUGUUCCAGGUGAUCAACCCAAGCUCCUCAACCUGGAGUCCCAGUGAAGGCAACUAUUUGCCUGAGUGAAGACUCAGGUAUGUAAAAUUCAUGAUGACUGGGUAGAGAUGCCCACUCAUCUUCCACAAUUGGGAAGGGAAGUCUGGGGGGAAGAGAUGCAAAGGACUUAAGAAUGAUAAGCUCUUCUUAAGGUUGCAUUUAAUUUGAUGUGCUGAAGCUUCUGUUCUUGGUGCUGAAUAUUCAUGUUUUGUGAGGAAUCCCAGAGGCUUCACAACAGUGUCAUUUUCUACAAUUCUAGAGUGAAGAGAAAUGUGCCUUUUGCUGAUAAUGUACCUGAAGGGUGAUGAAGGAAUGUGGUGGGGCGCCUGGGUGGCGCAGUCGGUUAAGCGUCUGACCUCAGCCAGGUCACCAUCUCGCGGCCCGGUGAGUUCGAGCCCCGCGUCGGGCUCUGGGCUGAUGGCUCAGAGCCUGGAGCCUGUUUCCGAUUCUGUGUCUCCCUCUCUCUCUGCCCCUCCCCCGUUCAUGCUCUGUCUCUCUCUGUCCCAAAAAUAAAUAAACGUUGAAAAAAAAAAAAAAGAAAUAGGAAUGUGGAGUUAGCAGAUCACUCUAUCCUCAAUCUUGCUAAUGAAGUAACCAAAAUUUUGAUUCACUUCUCAUCCCAUGCAGUCAUCUGACAUUCUGUCUUAGUUUUCUGAUUAUGUAGCCACAGACUGGGCAUGGAGACAAUGCCCCAGUCACUAACCAUGUCAACAACUGUGUGAGAUUGUGGUACUGAGUCACUGCCUCCAUUUUUGUUAAGUGGAGCACUGAGCACUUCAUCUUGUGAUAUCCAGGUCAUCCUAAACCAUUUUCAUGCUUUGGUUCCUGACUAAGAACGUACAUGAGAAUGAGUUCAUGUCCUGUGAAGAGAGAAAAGAUCUGUCCACUGAGACAGUAGAAUUGUUUUAUGGCACUGAUUCUUUUACUACCCAGCAGUAAAUUUUAAAGCAGGAGGCCAUUACUGAGGUGGUUUUAAUGCCUCAGUAAGGCAAACCAAAAUCUAAGCCUGUGAAUGCCUCAAGGUUCCAAAAUCAAAAUGCUAUGGACAACCAAUCACAAACAGCCUACCAGGGUUUAAGCUAUAGCCAAUCAAAUAAUUUCUUUUCUUUGCAACCAUACUUUAUAGGUGUUUACCAUAGUUCUUGUCUGCCAAGUGCUCUUAACUACUGAUGGUUUAGCGCUGCUUGGUUACAACAGAUUUUUCUCAAAAACCUCUUAAAAUUUUGAAUGUGCCUCAGUUUAUCUUUCAACAUAGGAUAUAGUUAUAAAAAAAACACAGAUUUUCUCCCUUGGCUUCUUCCUCUUUAAAAUAUGAAUAACAACUCUUCUUUUGAUGUCACGUUACUAUGUAUCAGUUAUGAUCAUGUCAGUAAAAGAGCUAAGUGGAGAGACGCAUUCAUCUCUGUUCAACCCUGUUUUACCUCCCUGGUUUGGUUUGGCAUCACUAGCCUUGGGCGUUACUAGAGGUUCCUUACUACUCUCCCACUCUGCAGCAAAGCCUCUUGGCAGUUCA
rnacentral:lncRNA from 1 species